rnacentral:rRNA from 1 species
GACGAACGCUGGCGGCGUGCCUAAUACAUGCAAGUAGAACGCACAGUUUAUACCGUAGCUUGCUACACCAUAGACUGUGAGUUGCGAACGGGUGAGUAACGCGUAGGUAACCUGCCUGGUAGCGGGGGAUAACUAUUGGAAACGAUAGCUAAUACCGCAUAAUAUUAAUUAUUGCUUGAUAAUUAAUUGAAAGGUGCAAUUGCACCACUACCAGAUGGACCUGCGUUGUAUUAGCUAGUAGGUGAGGUAACGGCUCACCUAGGCGACGAUACAUAGCCGACCUGGUAGGGUGAUCGGCCACUCAGAGACUGAGACACGGCCCAGACUCCUGCGGGAGGCAGCAGUAGGGAAUCUUCGGCAAUGGACGAAAGUCUGACCGAGCAACGCCGCGUGAGUGAAGAAGGUUUUCGGAUCGUAAAGCUCUGUUGUAAGAGAAGAACGGGUGUGAGAGUGGAAAGUUCACACUGUGACGGUAUCUUACCAGAAAGGGACGGCUAACUACGUG